UACGUAGGGGGCAAGCGUUGUCCGGAUUUAUUGGGCGUAAAGAGCGUGUAGGCGGCUAGGUAGGUCCGUUGUGAAAACUCGAGGCUCAACCUCGAGACGUCGAUGGAAACCAUCUAGCUAGAGUCCGGAAGAGGAGACUGGAAUUCCUGGUGUAGCAGUGAAAUGCGUAGAUAUCAGGAGGAAUACCGAUGGCGAAGGCAGGUCUCUGGGCUGACACUGACGCUCAUGCACGAAAGCGUGGGGAGCAAACAGG
rnacentral:rRNA from 1 species